AGAGUUUGAUCAUGGCUCAGGAUGAACGCUGGCGGCGUGCCUAACACAUGCAAGUCGAACGGAGUCGUUUUGGAAAUCUCUUCGGAGAUGGAAUUCUCGACUUAGUGGCGGACGGGUGAGUAACGCGUGAGCAAUCUGCCUUUAAGAGGGGGAUAACAGUCGGAAACGGCUGCUAAUACCGCAUAAAGCAUCAAAUUCGCAUGUUUUUGAUGCCAAAGGAGCAAUCCGCUUUUAGAUGAGCUCGCGUCUGAUUAGCUAGUUGGCGGGGUAACGGCCCACCAAGGCGACGAUCAGUAGCCGGACUGAGAGGUUGAACGGCCACAUUGGGACUGAGACACGGCCCAGACUCCUACGGGAGGCAGCAGUGGGGAAUAUUGCGCAAUGGGGGAAACCCUGACGCAGCAACGCCGCGUGAUUGAAGAAGGCCUUCGGGUUGUAAAGAUCUUUAAUCAGGGACGAAACAAAUGACGGUACCUGAAGAAUAAGCUCCGGCUAACUACGUGCCAGCAGCCGCGGUAAUACGUAGGGAGCAAGCGUUAUCCGGAUUUACUGGGUGUAAAGGGCGCGCAGGCGGGCCGGCAAG
rnacentral:rRNA from 1 species